rnacentral:rRNA from 1 species
UAAAAAGCUCGCUAGUUGGAUCUCGGCGGGCAGGGGGUGGUUCGCUCUUCAGCGCUACUGCCCCGCUUUGCCCGUGUGAUUGGCGGAGGUUUCGGGGUGCUCUUCGUUGAGUGACUCGGAGCGCCGUCAGGUUUACUUUGAAAAAAUUAGAGUGCUCAAAGCAGGCUUUUCACGCUUGAAUAUUCGUGCAUGGAAUAAUGGAAUAGGAACUCGUUUCUAUUUUGUUGGUUUUCGGAAAUCGAGUUAAUGAUUAACAGGGACAAUUGGGGGCAUUAGUAUUCAGACGACAGAGGUGAAAUUCUUGGACCGUCUGAAGACUGACUACUGCGAAAGCAUUUGCCAAGAGUGUUUUCAUUAAUCAAGAACGAAAGUUAGAGGUUCGAAGGCGAUCAGAUACCGCCCUAGUUCUAACCAUAAACGAUGCCAGCUAGCGAUCUGCCGAGUUUUUUUUGUAGGCUCCGCAGGAAGCUUUCGGGAAACCAAAGCUUUUGGGUUCCGGGGGAAGUAUGGUUGCAAAGCUGAAACUUAAAGGAAUUGACGGAAGGGCACCACCAGGAGUGGAGCCUGCGGCUUAAUUUGACUCAACACGGGAAAUCUCACCAGGCCCGGACACUGGAAGGAUUGACAGAUUGAGAGCUCUUUCUCGAUUCGGUGGGUGGUGGUGCAUGGCCGUUCUUAGUUGGUGGAGUGAUUUGUCUGGUUAAUUCCGAUAACGAACGAGACU